rnacentral:lncRNA from 1 species
UUUUUUUUUUCCAGGUCAGUAUAUUUCAUGUUUAUACUUUAAAUGAGUUGUACUCUGGCUUACUGCUAACUAGCUGUGUGACCAUGAAUACAUUUCCUAACCAACUGGAAGUUGUUUUUCUCAUGAAAAACAUGUGUAGUAUCUGUCUUGGGUUGCAAAAGUUCAAGUGAAAAGUAAAUGUAAAAGUGCUAGAAAUAUAAUGUGAUUAUAUUCCUAAUAAAAUUCAAGGUUGAGAUAAUGUGAACAAGUUUUUAAUUUGGUGGAAAAGAGUAAAAACCUUUUAAAUUGAGUUAGAUGCUUGGUGUACAUAAGAAUCUUGAGUUUUGAUAGAGAUAACAAGUGACUUAUAAACUAACUUAGAGAAGUAAAUGCAUCUGAAAUACGGCAAAAAAGAAAACACUUCUAAAGCAUUUUAGAACGCAAAGUACCAAUCACAUUUUUAUGUAAGAAAGACAGAGAUCAUAAACCUGUAGCUCUUGGUCCUAUACAGUUAAAUGUUUUGCUGGCUUGCUAAAGGUAUAAAUAGUAUUUGAACCAAUGCUUAAAAAUCAGAUUUCUCAUGAAGUCCAAAUUUUAGUUCUUCUUGACAGAUGUGGUAACACCAAGUCCAUAUCCCCACAUGGCAAAAUUUAUCUGGGACUGGGAAGCGAUACCCAUUUAGAUGAGCAUAAGGAGUUCGCCAAUCCCCACUACUGCCUCUUGUUUCCUUUUACCUUACCUGCCUAGCAACUACAGGCACUUGACUUUGCAACUUUAGUAAAAUACAGAGCCACUCCAAUAUAUUAUCCUGUUUUAUCACUAAUAGGCAUUACAAAGCAAAAUACAAUCUCUGGGAACUAAGAGAGACACCAGAGGCAACCCUAUUUAUGUAAAAGACAGUAAAGCAUAUUUUUCUUUUGUGACUAUUAAUUCCUUUUAAGUAAAUUCAGUCUACCUAGUGCAGGUUGUUGAUGGGUAUGACAGGAAUGGGAGGAACAAAAAAUGAAAAAAUUUAUCUUUUUGUCUUACCUAAGACUUACAUGGUUGACUGAUAGAUGAUCUUUCACAUACGUUAGAUUUCUGAAUAUAAACUAACAUGAGAAAAAGGUUAAAGGAGAGUCCAAAGAAACAAAAAUGUUUUUCAGCAUACAUGAAGUAGUAACAUUCAAGUGGUUGCCCAUAUGCUAGCAGAGUGCUUAAUUUUGAUUGACAGUGUUCAACUGGAGAUGCCAAAUAACAUCAUAUGUCAAGUAGUUAGAACUAUAGGAGAUUCUAUUCUGUUUUUCUAUCUGGCAUCUGCUGGUAAAAGAAUGUUGCAACAAGUUCAAUUUGGCUAAUUAAUCCAGACUCAUGUGAAUAAAAUGUGUGCUGUCUAGUUUCUGAAAUGUGCCUGGGCCUAAGGAACUGCUCUACCUGGGUGAACCUGGAUGAUGCCAUUGGUUCUGUUAUACUCCAGUAGUAGACACUAUUAAGUUAGUAGAAAAUGACACAUCCUACUCAAGCAAAAUGACUUUUUCUAAAUUUUUUUUUUUAAAUUCAGUACUUGGAAACAGUUCUAAAAAUGUUAGCUAUGAACUUUAAAAAAAAAAGGUUAAGACUUUUUGAAAAAGGGUGCCUGAAGAACUUUUUAUAUUCUCAGCAUUGUCAAUAUAUGCUACUUCGAUAGGAAACAAGGAAAGGGAAAUAAAGAAUUGUUUGACACUUCACUCAGAUCUGCAAGCCUGAUCCUCGGAUUACCUGCAUCAAAAUCUCCUGGACUAUUAUUAAAAAUUCAGAUUUUUCUGGAGCCUUCCCCAGACUCAGUGAAUCAAAAUCUCUUAUUAAACUUGGAGAAUCACUGUCAUAGGUUCACUUGCUCAUUCGAUAAAUAUUAAAUAAACAUUUAAUGCUAUAAUGUACUCAGAUUGGACUGCUUUAGAAGUUACUAAUAAUAAAUAACUACCGUGCACUAACUAUAUGCCAUGUCUAUAAACUAUGCUAAAGAGUUAUAGUUGACUCAUUCUGUUCAACAAUCCUAAAAGGUUUUAUGGUCCUAUUUAUUUUUUAUUUUUUUGCUAUUUUUAGGGCUGCACCCUUGACAUAUGGAAGUUCCCAGGCUCGGGGCUGAAUUGGAGCUCCAACCACCAGCAUACACCACAGCCACAGCAACGCUAGAUUUGAUCUUUGCCUGCGACCUACACCACAGCUCAUGGCAAUGAUGGAUCUUUAACCCACCGAGUGAGGCCAGGGAUGGAACCCACAACAUCAUGGUUCCUAGUUGUUUCCACUGUGCCACAAUGGGCACUCCCAUGGUUCCAUCUAACAGAUGAUAAACAGAAUGAGUAAACUGUCCAAAGUCAUCACCUAAUGAAUGUUCCUAUUCUUGAAACCCAGAUCUGAUUCUAAAAUCUGUGGUCUUAAUCGGUAUAUUAUUUUGCCUUACUUGAAUCUGGAUAAACUUAAAACUGUUUCAUAGUCCCACAUGAACAAAUUUCCUUCUAUAUAGGAAGUAACUGACAGAGUGCAUUACUUAACUUUCAAUACAAAGCCUUAAAACAUUCUCUAUCAAUCUUAAGAGUUUUUGCCCUCCCAGAAUAUUUUCUUCUGUUCCAUUAAGUGCAUUUUCUUCCUUCUACUUAUCUUUUGUGGUCAAAUAUAAGUCUAGGAUAGGAGGACUACAUACGCUAGGCAGUCUUGCGAGUUUUCCUUUUGUGAUUCUGAAGUUCUGCAAACACUUCUCUAUCCACUGGACAGAGAAUGUUCCUAAUGUAUUAAAUGUUAAGUAUAAUCUUGGUUUUGCAAUUUUUAAUAGGCUGUGAUGAAUACUACUGAAAAGCUAUCACAAAAACACCAGGACCAAUUAGGACUUGCAAGAGAAUUUCAGGGAGAAAAAUAACAUUGCCUAAAUUGGAAUGUGGCCAGAUGGCCAGCAGUUCCCUUAGUAUCUGCUUUGAUAACAUCAAGAUUCAUCUGUAUUUGAAUUGCAGGGCCCACACAUCUUUCAUCAACCAUCCUUGGGAUGCCAGAAGUUGAAACUCAUGAAACUGCUGACAUCAGUACACUUUGCUGUAGAUUACAUUGCAUCAGCGCCAAGUGUAGGCAAAGUAGCAGCAAAACUUUAUUAAAGGUAGCCAGUCUAUGUUGUCAGUGCAGGACACUAACGUACUCUACAAAGACAGGAAGAUUAAACUCUUCUCUGUAGGACAUCAUAGAAGGGUGGUGUGCUGAGAAGUGGGAUGGAUUUAAUGAGCAACUCAUGGCAUGGUAAAUGUAGCUGCAGUUAGUCAUGAUUGGUAAAGUAUAAAUACUUUUAAGUAGUCUUGCAAAAAGUGUUAAACUGAAUCUAAUCAUGCUUCCAGACCUACUUCUGAUUUGUGAAAAAUAAGAGGAGACAUUCAAAAAGACCCCUGGCCUGAACUUUUCAAAAUGACAAUUUUACAAGGUAAAAAGAGAUGGCGGAAUGGUUCUAGAUUAAGGCUAAAGAGUUAUAAUACCCUGGAGUUCCCGUCGUGGCUCAGUGGUUAACAAAUCCGACUAGGAACCAUGAGGUUGUGGGUUCGGUCCUUGGCCUUGCUCAGUGGGUUAAGGAUCGGGUGUUGCCGUGAGCUGUGGUGUAGGUUGCAGAUGUGGCUCAGAUCCUGCGUUGCUGUGGCUCUGGCCCAACUUGAUAUUACCAAGAUGACUGACAAUUGUCGACUCAAAUCUACAGAAGGAACUACGAUAAUGUGUGAUAACUCUUGUAAAAAAACCAUAUAAAAUAAUACAUUUCAUGAAUAUUCACAAACAUUAAGUUGUUUAAUAAACCAUAGACAUGCACAAUGUGGACAGUAUACUUUCAUCCAGAACUGCAGUCAAUGCUUACAAACCCCGAGAAGAGGAGAAACGAAGAAAAGGUUGAAAAUUUCAGAAUAUGCAGACAGGAAGUGGGGAAAUAAGGCUUCGAGAUGUUGUCACAGUGGUAGGGUGACCAUCUUUUUCCUUUAUAGCUGGGGAUGGAAAAUGAUUUCCUCAAGCUCCAGAAUUCUCCGACCUUAAAGGUCAGAGGGUGAAAGUGCUUAACAGAACUUG